rnacentral:rRNA from 1 species
GACGAACGCUGGCGGCGUGCUUAACACAUGCAAGUCGAACGGAAAGGCCCUGCUUUUGUGGGGUGCUCGAGUGGCGAACGGGUGAGUAACACGUGAGUAACCUGCCCUUGACUUUGGGAUAACUUCAGGAAACUGGGGCUAAUACCGGAUAUGAGCUCCUGCUGCAUGGUGUGGGUUGGAAAGUUUCGGCGGUUGGGGAUGGACUCGCGGCUUAUCAGCUUGUUGGUGGGGUAGUGGCUUACCAAGGCUUUGACGGGUAGCCGGCCUGAGAGGGUGACCGGCAACAUUGGGACUGAGAUACGGCCCAGACUCCUACGGGAGGCAGCAGUAGGGAAUAUUGCACAAUGGGCGGAAGCCAGAUGCAGCAACGCCGCGUGCGGGAUGACGGCCUUCGGGUUGUAAACCGCUUUCGCCUGUGACGAAGCGUGAGUGACGGUAAUGGGUAAAGAAGCACCGGCUAACUACGUG